GACGAACGCUGGCGGCGUGCUUAACACAUGCAAGUCGAACGGAAAGGCCUCUUUCGGGGGGUACUCGAGUGGCGAACGGGUGAGUAACACGUGAGUAACCUGCCCUUGACUUUGGGAUAACUUCAGGAAACUGGGGCUAAUACCGGAUAGGAGCUCCUGCUGCAUGGUGGGGGUUGGAAAGUUUGGGCGGUUGGGGAUGGACUCGCGGCUUAUCAGCUUGUUGGUGGGGUAGUGGCUUACCAAGGCUUUGACGGGUAGCCGGCCUGAGAGGGUGACCGGCCACAUUGGGACUGAGAUACGGCCCAGACUCCUACGGGAGGCAGCAGUGGGGAAUAUUGCACAAUGGGUGGAAGCCUGAUGCAGCAACGCCGUGUGCGGGAUGACGGCCUUCGGGUUGUAAACCGCUUUCGCUCAUGACGAAGCUUUGUGUGACGGUAGUGGGUAAAGAAGCACCGGCUAACUACGUG
rnacentral:rRNA from 1 species